UACAAUGUUUUGUUUAUAAUUUUAUUAACAUUGAACUUCUAUUAACAAAUAAAUAUAGAGCACUGAUUUUAAAAUGGAUGGAUACAAUUAUUUAUUGUACAUGUUUGUAAAAUGGACGGAUAUGUUCAUAUAAAAUAAUAAUAAUAAACUUAACAAUUCAUUCAUCAUAAAAAGCUUACAAUUUUGAUACCAGGCAAAAUGGCUGUGAGGCCUAAAAAAAUACUGCCUGCAGUCAAGGUUUUCUUAGUGCAAAACAGUCACAUCUCAUACAUAUAAAUGAAAAAAUCCUCCCAAUGGAGGGUU
rnacentral:lncRNA from 1 species